rnacentral:misc_RNA from 1 species
UGAAAUGCGAAACGUAAUGCGAUUUGCACGAAUCUGUGAGUCAUCAAGUCUUUGAACGCAUCUUGCACCAUAUGAGUAAUUGUAUGGUAUACCUGUUUGAGAAUCGUAAACCUCCUCACUUACUUGUAAGUGGACAUGUUGGUUUAGAUGUGGGUGCUUGCACUCAUUCUAUCCGAUUAAAUGUAUUAGGUUUGGAUCAGGCUGGUGGCCUGAGACACUGUGUGCUAGAGACUUAGUCUUAACCGGCUUCUGUCUUCUCACGGUGCGUCUCAGGUCAUUAAAGCUAGCCUGUAAAGGACCUUAACUGCGCAUGGCCUUGUGCCAUGGCAACCUUUCUCUUUGAUCUCAAAUCAGGUAAGGCUACCCGCUGAACUUAA